rnacentral:rRNA from 1 species
UACGUAGGGUGCAAGCGUUAAUCGGAAUUACUGGGCGUAAAGCGUGCGCAGGCGGUGAUGUAAGACCGAUGUGAAAUCCCCGGGCUUAACCUGGGAACUGCAUUGGUGACUGCAUCGCUAGAGUAUGGCAGAGGGGGGUGGAAUUCCACGUGUGGCAGUGAAAUGCGUAGAGAUGUGGAGGAACACCGAUGGCGAAGGCAGCCCCCUGGGCCAAUACUGACGCUCAUGCACGAAAGGCGUGGGGAGCAAACAGG